UCAUUUUGUUCGCCAUCAUCCACCCUGGA
rnacentral:sRNA from 1 species